rnacentral:tRNA from 1 species
AGCGUAGCUCAGAGGUAGAGCAGCGGUUUCGUAAACCGCUGGCCGAAGGUUCGACUCCUUUCGCU